rnacentral:rRNA from 1 species
CCUACGGGUGGCAGCAGUGGGGAAUAUUGCACAAUGGGGGAAACCCUUAUGCAGCGACGCCGCGUGAGUGAAGAAGUAAUUCGUUAUGUAAACCUCUGUCAGCAGGGACGAAAAUGACGGUACCUACGGAAGAAGCCACGGCUAACUACGUGCCAGCAGCCGCGGUAAUACGUAGGGGGCAAGCGUUAUCCGGAUUUACUGGGUGUAAAGGGAGCGUAGACGGGAGGGCAAGUCUGGAGUGAAAGUCAGGGGCUCAACCCACGGACUGCUCUUGAAACUGUACGGCUUGAGUGCAGUAGAGGUAAGCGGAAUUCCUAGUGUAGCGGUGAAAUGCGUAGAUAUUAGGAGGAACACCAGUGGCGAAGGCGGCUUACUGGACUGUAACUGACGUUGAGGCUCGAAAGCGUGGGGAGCAAACAGGAUUAGAUACCCCUGUAGUC